GAUGAACGCUGGCGGCGUGCCUAAUACAUGCAAGUCGAGCGAACGGACGAGAAGCUUGCUUCUCUGAUGUUAGCGGCGGACGGGUGAGUAACACGUGGAUAACCUACCUAUAAGACUGGGAUAACUUCGGGAAACCGUAGCUAAUACCGGAUAAUAUUUUGAACCGCAUGGUUCAAAAGUGAAAGACGGUCUUGCUGUCACUUAUAGAUGGAUCCGCGCUGCAUUAGCUAGUUGGUAAGGUAACGGCUUACCAGGGCAACGAUGCAUAGCCGACCUGAGAGGGUGAUCGGCCACACUGGAAGUGAGACACGGUCCAGACUCCUACGGGAGGCAGCAGUAGGGAAUCUUCCGCAAUGGGCGAAAGCCUUACGGAGCAACGCCGCGUGAGUGAUGAAGGUCUUCGGAUCGUAAAACUCUGUUAUUAGGGAAGAACAUAUGUGUAAGUAACUGUGCACAUCUUGACGGUACCUAAUCAGAAAGCCACGGCUAACUACGUG
rnacentral:rRNA from 1 species